rnacentral:rRNA from 1 species
UGGGGAAUAUUGGACAAUGGGGGCAACCCUGAUCCAGCAAUGCCGCGUGUGUGAAGAAGGCCUUCGGGUUGUAAAGCACUUUAGUUGGGGAAGAAGAUUAUUAGUUUAAGAGAUGAAUGAUUUGACGGUACCCAAAGAAUAAGCACCGGCUAACUCUGUGCCAGCAGCCGCGGUAAUACAGAGGGUGCGAGCGUUAAUCGGAAUUACUGGGCGUAAAGGGCGCGUAGGCGGUUAUUUAAGAUGGAUGUGAAAUACCUGGGCUUAACCUAGGGACGGCAUACAUGACUGGAUAACUGGAGUUUUGUAGAGGGUAGUGGAAUUUCCGGUGUAGCGGUGAAAUGCGUAGAGAUCGGAAGGAACAUCAGUGGCGAAGGCGGCUACCUGGACAAAAACUGACGCU